AUGGAGCGAGGAGAUGAGCGUGUGGGUACCGUGGUGCCUGCCGCCCCUCACUCCCCUAAGCAGGAGGGCAGGCCAAGCAGCCCAGUCCUUGGAGGGGACCCCUCCCCAGGGUCAGAGCGAGGCCUCACCAGGGACAGAUGAAGAGACUGGGGCCCAGCUGCAGGGCUCCUCCAUGUGAGCAGACUUCUCUUCCCGUGUCAAGGGCGGCGGCCCACAGCUGUGCUCCAUAUUCUUCCUUUCCUUGGAUCCAGAAAGGGUUUCAGAAAAGAGAAAGCUUAACCCGGGAGUGGUGGCGCACGCCUCUAAUUCCAGCACUCGGGAGGCUGA